AAUAGAUACCCUGGUAGUCCACGCCGUAAACGAUGAGUGCUAAGUGUUGGGGGGGUUUCCGCCCCUCAGUGCUGCAGCUAACGCAUUAAGCACUCCGCCUGGGGAGUACGGUCGCAAGACUGAAACUCAAAGGAAUUGACGGGGGCCCGCACAAGCGGUGGAGCAUGUGGUUUAAUUCGAAGCAACGCGAAGAACCUUACCAGGUCUUGACAUCUCGGUGACCACUAUGGAGACAUAGUUUCCCCUUCGGGGGCAACGGUGACAGGUGGUGCAUGGUUGUCGUCAGCUCGUGUCGUGAGAUGUUGGGUUAAGUCCCGCAACGAGCGCAACCCUUAUUCUUAGUUGCCAUCAUUCAGUUGGGCACUCUAAGGAGACUGCCGGUGAUAAACCGGAGGAAGGUGGGGAUGACGUCAAAUCAUCAUGCCCCUUAUGACCUGGGCUACACACGUGCUACAAUGGACGGUACAAACGGUUGCCAACCCGGCGAGGGGGAGCUAAUCCGAUAAACCGUUCUCAGUUCGGAUUGUAGGCUGCAACUCGCCUAC
rnacentral:rRNA from 1 species